rnacentral:rRNA from 1 species
UACGUAGGGGGCGAGCGUUGUCCGGAUUUAUUGGGCGUAAAGAGCUCGUAGGCGGUUGGGUAAGUCGGGUGUGAAAACUCAGGGCUCAACUCUGAGACGCCACUCGAUACUGCUCUGACUCGAGUCCGGUAGGGGAGCGUGGAAUUCCCGGUGUAGCGGCGAAAUGCGCAGAUAUCGGGAGGAACACCAGUGGCGAAGGCGGCGAUCUGGGAAGAUACUGACGCUGAGGUGCGAAAGCGUGGGGAGCAAACAGG